rnacentral:lncRNA from 1 species
UGGUACAGAGACAAUGAUCUUUCGAAAGAAGUGACAGAGUACCGCAUGACUGUGCAUGUGUUUGGAAACAGCCCCUCUCCGGCAGUGGCGAUAUAUGGGCUAAGAAGGGCUGCCCAUGCUGGAGAAAAGGAACAUGGCACAGAAGCAAUGCAAUUCGUCACCAGGAACUUUUAUGUAGAUGAUGGUCUGAUUUCACUCCCCACUGAGACAGAUGCAAUCAGUCUCCUACAAAAAACACAGGAGAUGUUAGCAGAGUCCAAUUUGCGCCUACACAAAAUUGCCUCAAACAGUAGCAAGGUAAUGCAGGCAUUCUUAACUGAUGAUCUAGCGAAAGACCUCAAGGACUUAGACUUGGGAGCAGACUCUCUACCUCUUCAGCGUAGUCUUGGAUUGAGCUGGAGUCUGGAAUCCGAUGUCUUCAUCUUCCAAGUUUCCAGGGAGGAAAAACCCUUUACCAAGCGAGGGGUUAUCUCCACCGUAAACAGUUUAUACGACCCGCUGGGUUUUGUCGCUCCCAUCACUGUGCAAGGAAAAGCUCUCAUCCGAGAACUUACCAAAGAAUCAUGCGACUGGGAUGACCCUCUUCCAUCUGUUAAAGAGCAGCAAUGGAAUGCAUGGAAGUUCUCUCUUUGUGAAAUAGAGAGAUUGCAUAUCCCCAGGCCUUAUGUUUCUGUAUCUCUGUCCUCAACACAACACAGAGAACUUUGCGUCUUUUCUGAUGCCUCAUCAAUGGCAAUUGCCGCUGUUGCUUACAUACGCGUUCUCAGUGAAGAAGGAAAGUACCUCACUGGAUUUGUCAUGGGAAAAUCCAAGCUUGCACCGAAAAUCGCACAUACAAUACCACGAUUAGAGUUAUGUGCUGCGGUUCUUGCUGUGGAGAUGGCUGAGCUCAUUUGCCAGGAAAUGGACCUUGAGUUUCAAGCUGUAAAGUACUACACAGACAGCAAGAUCGUGUUAGGAUACAUCCAUAACACUUCAAGAAGGUUCUAUGUCUACGUAUCGAACAGAGUUUCAAGGAUCAGGAAGUCCACUAAACCCACUCAAUGGCACCAUGUCUCAACAGAGAACAAUCCAGCUGACUUUGCAACCAGGCCAAUAACAGUAGGCCUCCUGGAAAAAACAAGCUGGUUUACAGGGCCCUCCUUUCUGAAGGAAACUCAGCAGUUGUCUUCACUCCUGACACCAGCUGAAUUUGACUUUGUCAACCCAGAGCAAGACAUUGAGAUUCGUCCAGAAGUAGGU